UACGAAGGGGGCUAGCGUUGCUCGGAAUUACUGGGCGUAAAGCGCACGUAGGCGGCUCUUUAAGUCGGGGGUGAAAUCCUGGAGCUCAACUCCAGAACUGCCUUUGAUACUGAAGAGCUCGAGUCCGGGAGAGGUGAGUGGAACUGCGAGUGUAGAGGUGAAAUUCGUAGAUAUUCGCAAGAACACCAGUGGCGAAGGCGGCUCACUGGCCCGGUACUGACGCUGAGGUGCGAAAGCCAGGGGAGCAAAGCGG
rnacentral:rRNA from 1 species